rnacentral:rRNA from 1 species
GGAAGUAAAAGUCGUAACAAGGUCUCCGUAGGUGAACCUGCGGAGGGAUCAUUACACAAUAACAAGGCGGGCUGGACACCCCCCGCUGGGCACUGCUUCACGGCGUGCGCGGCGGGGCCGGCCCUGCUGAAUUAUUCACCCGUGUCUUUUGCGUACUUCUUGUUUCCUGGGUGGGCUCGCCCGCCCUCAGGACCAACCACAAACCUUUUGCAAUAGCAAUCAGCGUCAGUAACAACGUAAUUAAUUACAACUUUCAACAACGGAUCUCUUGGUUCUGGCAUCGAUGAAGAACGCAGCGAAAUGCGAUACGUAGUGUGAAUUGCAGAAUUCAGUGAAUCAUCGAAUCUUUGAACGCACAUUGCGCCCUUUGGUAUUCCAAAGGGCAUGCCUGUUCGAGCGUCAUUUGUACCCUCAAGCUUUGCUUGGUGUUGGGCGUCUUUUGUCUCCAGUUCGCUGGAGACUCGCCUUAAAGUCAUUGGCAGCCGGCCUACUGGUUUCGGAGCGCAGCACAAGUCGCGCUCUUUGCCAGCCAAGGUCAGCGUCCAGCAAGCCUUUUUUUCAACCUUUGACCUCGGAUCAGGUAGGGAUACCCGCUGAACUUAAGCAUAUCAAUAAGCGGAGGCACAA